AUGAAUCAGACUGAGAUCUCUGGUUUGGAAUUCACUGGCUUGCAUGAUACUCAUGUUGGUGAAGAAUCAUAUGCAACUGAAUGUCCUGAAAUGAAUCAGGAUCUAUCCCACAAAACCGAAUUUGAUGUGGUUAUGGCAACUACAGCCAUGCACAGUGGUUCUGGCAAUUCCUAUGCUUGCUUAGAUGGAUAUGAAGAUACAAGGAUGAUGUCAGGAAUUCAGGCCGUUAAGGAAGUUAGACUUGGCAGUAUGCAGCACCUUGAGGGAACAUAUUCUGAUUCCGAUGAAGAAAACUUGUCAUCUAGUCCUGGAACUUCAUCCACCACUAAUUACGAAAAUUUGGAAAAUAUGUACAAUGCUUUGGGCGAAAUGGUUGAUAAAGAAGGGACGGUUGUGCUUAAACCUGACUUUGUGAUGUGCGACACGGCCCUGCAUCUUCAGCCUCACUUAAUUUUUUCACCAGAUGGGUUCAAAAUUGAACAAUCGGAUUGUGAUCCAUAUGAAGAUGAUAAGACGAUAGCUCUAUGUUGGGAUAUUUGUGACAUCAUUUCCAUUAAUAGUCAAUGGACUCAGAGUGUUAUGUCUGCCUCUGUAACUCUCCUUAUUAGACCCAGUGCAGAGGCCGAAAGUUCAGAUCCUAUUAGAGUGGAGUUCAUUCUUACAGAUCCACAGUGGCCACAAAAACAAGAGAAGAUUUGUCAUAUUGCAUCGAGAUAUCGCGACAUCUGGAACAGCACUCCAUUAGAGGAUUUUGCGUUGGAGAACCGGAGCGCCGACCCAAGUUUAUUUUUCCCGAAACAAUAUUUUUCUGGCAUUGACGAAUUUGAAGAUGUCAUCUAUCCUAAAGGAGAUCCGGAUGCUGUUUCUAUUAGCAGCAGAGAUGUUGAUUUGCUUCUACCUGAAACAUUUGUCAACGACACAAUAAUUGACUUUUAUAUCAAAUACUUAAGCACAAGAAUGAAGACCACGGAGAAGUGCAAGUACCAUUUCUUUAACAGCUUCUUUUUUCGCAAGCUGGCAGAUCUUGACAAAGAUCAAGGGAGAGCUCCAGAGGGUAGAUCUGCUUUUUUACGUGUCCGCAAGUGGACCCGAAAAAUAAACAUAUUUGCGAAGGAUUUUCUAUUUAUUCCAGUGAACUUCAGCUUGCAUUGGAGCUUGAUUGUUAUUUGUUAUCCUGGAGAAGUGGAAACAUCUGAAGAUGGUGAAGCAAAAAAGCAUGGUAAAGUUCCAUGUAUAUUACAUAUGGAUUCUCUUAAAGGAAAUCACAGUGGACUGAAAGACAUUAUUCAAAGUUAUCUAUGGGAAGAGUGGAAGGAAAGGCACCCUGAAUCAGCAUUAGAUAUUUCAGACAAAUUCUUAAAUCUGAGAUUCAUCUCCCUUGAGCUCCCUCAGCAAGAUAACUCAUUUGACUGUGGCCUCUUCCUGCUCCAUUAUGUGGAACGCUUUCUGAUGGAUUAUCCCAGUAGCUUCAACCCUUUGAAGAUAUCAGUAUCCUCAUCCUUUCUCAGUGAUGGUUGGUUUGAACCCGCUGAAGCUUCUCUGAAGCGUUCAUUGAUCCGGAAGUUAAUCCAGGAGCUAGUGACAGAACCUUCUCAAACAUUUCCGGAACUAACCUGUGGUAGCGAGCAGUUUGAUGAAAGUUAUCUAGGAAGAGAAAAUGCUGAGCAUGAAGCAGCUAGAGAGUUCCUUGCUCAGGGUUGCUCUGCUGGUGAAUCUGAGUCAGUUUGCCAAAUUCCUGGAGCACAGCAACAAUCCACAUCCAUCUGCUUUAAUGAUUCUGGAAAUGUUCCUGUUUCUGGAUGCAUUUUAGAGACUGAAGGGGUUACAACAUUUGCUGUACAGGACACACAGGUUUGUCCACCCGACAAUGAUAUUGCUGUCUGCAUGCCAAGCCAGGCUGUGGAAAAUGAGCCACCUCCUGCGGAUUAUGAUAAUAAACCUGACCUGAGAUCAUAUGCCCCAGAAGAUGCUGAAGCGUUGAAGGAUGAUGGUUGUGUGGUAAAAGGUCAGGACACUUUUGAGGAAUCCAUGCUAGAUUGUUCGCAUAAUAACCAGACAAUUUCUAGCCACACAGAAGUUAUGAUGCAUCAUAUUAUGGAUUCCAAGUGUGGCUCAUUCUCUGAUAACUCCGAGGCAAUGGCCUACAAAGAACAGAGCUUAGAAACAAACAUAAAUGAAGUUCUGUAUGAUUGCUGUGAUGUGUCCGAGGAUAUGCAUCCUGUCAUGAUGUCUGAUGCCAGGGAAGUUGACAUUGCACCUAAUCCAGCAAGCACCAAAGACGAAGCUGACAAUGGCAGAUGUGAUCUCCCUGAUGUCACGGGAUCUGUUGCGGCUGGUGAUAUAGAAGGGAAUACUUCUGAGCAUUCUUCAGAAAGAAACAUUGUUGAAGAUGAGGAGGCCAAGGGUGAUAUUUCUCUCAUGGUAUGCGAUUUGAACAAUGAUGUUGCUGAGCAGUCUUCUCCCGUGGUAUGUGAUUUGAACAAUGAUGUUGCUGAGCAUUCUCCCUCAACAAUUGCUGUUGAAUCUGAGGACUUGAAACAUGAAGAUACUUAUGUGGAUCUCAAGGUAGAAGAUGAUAUCGAAGUUGGCAUGGAGGAAACUUGCGCAGCUGCGGAUAAGAUCAGUGAUGUUGAGCAGCAUAUUUCACCCGAGUCCAAAGAGGGAAACAUUGAGAGCUGUGCUAUCAGUGACAUCGCUGUUCCCCAUGAGCCGAAAGAGGGAGAGACUAGCACCAUCGUGGGAGGCGACAGUAAAAAUGGGAGUGAUGAUGCUCAUGUGGACAGUGUGGAUGCACACGGUAUAGGACCAGGAGCAGGCGAGACAGUUCUUUGUGAAGUUGACACUAACUGUACCGAUGCUGAGAUGCCUGACGUUGAUAGCGCCUUGUGCGUGAAGAUUGAAGCAGUUUGCGAGGACACACCCUGUGAUGCUAAAUGGCCUCUUCCUGAUAGCAUCUCCGAAGAUCAGAUGAUGGAAGUUUGCGAGGGCAAACCGAAUGAAGCAGUUUGGGAGGACAAACCCCGUGAUGCUAAAAGGCCUCUUCUUGCCAGCACCUGGGAAGAUGAGAAGAUGGAAGCUUCAGAGGACAAACCGAAUGAGGCAGUUUGGGAGGACAAACCCUGCGAUGCUAAAAGGCCUCUUGUUGCCAGCACCUCUGAAGAUCAGAAGAUGCAAGUUUCUGAGGACAGGUGCUUUGAGAAGGACGUCGAGUCCACCGCAGAGAAGACGGAGCGACCCAAGAAGCGUCGCAAGGAGCGCGCGCCGACGCCGAUGCCGGCAACAGAUAAGCGACGAACGAGGAGCUCCUCAAUGCCACGGUUUCUGGCUUAG
rnacentral:rRNA from 1 species